rnacentral:tRNA from 1 species
GCCGAGAUAGCUCAGUUGGUAGAGCGCGGGACUGAAAAUCCCGGCGUCGACGGUUCGAUUCCGCCUCUCGGCA